rnacentral:rRNA from 1 species
AUGAGUCAUUAAUUUGGUGAUUAUGAUAACAUAAGGGAAAAAAAUGAUAUUACCUUAUUAUUAGUGUUGUCCAAAACUGGUGCCAGAAGACUCGGUAAGACCAGAGACGCAAACGUUAGUCAUCUUAAUCAGGCGUAAAGGGUGUGUAGGCUGCUUUAAAAGUUUAAAUCUUUUUAAUAGCUCUUUUGCCGUUGUACUACCAUUAUUUAUUUUAUUUAUAAAUAAUAAACAAAAAUGAAUAUAAAGGUAGUACAUUUUAUAAUUUAAUUAAUUUAAUCAUUAUAAAGGGGACAAAAAAAAGAUAUCCCGGUUUAAGUAAAAAGAAUAAAAUGAAUUAAAGCUAGGAUCAAAUUGAGGAUAAACCAAAUAAUACUUAGAGUAGGGCCGAUAUCCGCAGAUACUAAGGGGAAUACUAAAGGUGAAAGCUUUUUAUCUACUAUUGAUUGACGCUGAGAAACGAAGGUGAGAAUAGGAAAUAGGAUUUGAUACCCAGAUACCUCUCACUGUCAACGAUGAAUGGUGGUUGUUAGUUUUAAUAAAAACUGGUAACGAUGUUAACACGAUAACCAUUCCGCCUUGCGAGUACGGUUGCAAAACUGAAACCAAAAAAAUUA